CAUAAUCAAAAUUGGCCAACACAUAUGGUUAAAGCCAUAUCACAUACUCUAAUAUUUAAACUCCUAUACAUGCCAUAGGCUCAAAGUACUUGAAAUCACUACACCAAUAGCGUUAGCUUGACAGUGUGAUAAUAUCUCUGACGGCCUCCAACCCGAGCUAACCUGGAAACUCUAGAAAACAUGGGAAAGAAGAGGGGGUAAGCUUUCGCUUAGUAAGUUCGUAUGAAAACAAUAAGCACUCAUUAACUUGUUUUAUCAGUGUUUACAACAUAUUCUCAUGUUCACUACAAGCUGUCUUUCUGAGCAACGGUCACUAAAUUAUUUAUAUCUGGAGCUACAAUUAAUAAGGAUUCAUUUCACUUUGCAAUACAAACAAUGUCUCAAUUUCAUGAAUGUAUAUCAUCACAUAUAAGCAUAUAUCCAAUUUGACAAUAAUCUCAUUUUUCUCAAUACACAUAUAUUCAUAAUCAAUAUAUUUCAUAAUAUACAAAAUCAAUCCAUUUCAUUUCAAUUAUGAAUUUAAUUUAAUCCCAAAGUACCAAAGUACUCACCUCAAAUGCUUACCAUAUGCAAACAAUUAUAUAUGCAAGUUCCGUUAAUUUUCCAUGAAAUUAGACUUAUUUUCCUUUGUUCCAUAAAAUUUUCAGAAUAUUUGGUUAAGCAAAAUAGUAUAGUUUAUUCCUCAAAGUUACCCCUGAUUCACUGUCUGACAGUUCCGACCCUUCUGUACUAAAGUUCAAUUAUCUCAUAGUACAAGACUCGAAUAAUGUUCUCGUCUAUUUCUCUUGAAACUAGACUCAUAUGUCUACUUAUUAAUUUUUUUCUAGAAAUUUUGGUUAGGCCAAUUAGUACAGUUUAUUAGUUAAAAUCUCCUCUAUUUCAGGGUAUGACCACUCUGACCCCUGUGCACUACAAACUGAAUUUCUCCCUGUACAAAAUUCCAACGACCAUGCCUUUUAUUUCCCCUAAAAAUAGACUCAAUAAGGAAUCCAUGUAUGUAAGGUAUGACUCUUAAUAAAUGUUUUACAAUUUUUGGUGAAUUUCUAAAGUCAGAACAGGGGAUCUCGAAUUCAUUCAGACACUGUUUCACAAGAAUUCAAAUAUCACACAAUAUGGAAUUCUUUUUCUUCUCCUGUUUCUUUCAUGUGAAAAUAGACUCAUUAAUCUUUAAUCCCAUAUUUUGUUUUGCCUCUAACUCAUUUUCCACUAUUUUUAGUGUAUUUUCAAAGUUACACUACUACAGUAACUCAAAUCUGUCAAGGCUAAAUUACUCAUUCAUGAUCAUUGUUCACAAAAUUAAUACAACAUCGUUUGUAUAAUCAUCACCGAGACAUUCAUAUCACAUUUUCAUUUACCAUCUUACCAUAUUGUUGUUAUGUCGAGUUUUCAACCCGAGGGUUAAGUACAUACCUAUUCAAAGUAUCUAUUUCACAACAUUUAUCAAUACGUCCCUUUCAUCUCGAGUAUUCCUCCAUUUGAGUAGAAUUUUACCCAUUGAACACAUCGGAAUAUAAUUCGGAUACAUGGAAAGUUUGCACAUAAGUGCCACAUAUGUAGCCAAGCUACCAUGUAACCCGCCCAUAAGUGAACUCGGACUCAACUCAACGAGCUCGGGCGUUCGCAUCCAUAAGUGAACUCAGACUCAACUCAACGAGCUCGGAUGCCUAGUUAAAUCUCACGAACUCAGACUCAACUCAACGAGUUCGAACAUUCGCAUCCAUAAGUGAACUCGGACUCAACUCAACGAGCUCGGAUGCCCAAAUAUUCCAGUGACAUGUCACUUGUAUCCUAAUCUAUUCCUAAGGUUCAACGGGACCUUUUUCCCAAUCAUGUGUCUCAACCAUCUUCUACGGAAUGCCGAUACCAAUACUCGGUAGUAUUUCACAUUUUCCAAGUAUAUCAUAUAAUUUGACAUAUUAUCAAACAAUUAUCACAAGUAUAAUAUCUCAUAAUAAUUAUCAUAUCAUUUAAAUAACAUCAAAACAUUUAAAAUAAUAACUAUGUUACCAACAUUUACAUAUGAACUUACCUCGAUACCACAAAGGUAAAAAAAAAAGACGUAAUUAUCCCUUAAUCGAUUUCUUUCCGUUCUAGGUCCAAAUCUCGAUUUUCAUCAUCUAAAAUAUCACAUUCAACUUAUUAAAACAAUGUACUGAUCAAAUUAGUCCAUUGACACACUUGAGCAAUUUUUACAAUUUUGCCCCUAUAUUUUGCCAAAAUUACCAAAUUACCCCUUGGCUCGUAAAAUAAUUUUUAUCACAUUUCGUUACUCCUUGAGUCUAGAUGAACCAUUUUCAUAACUAUAGCAACUCAUAAUUUCAACUAUUUCACACAUUUACAACUCAUUUUACAACUUAGCAAUCUAGCCCUUUUUAAGGUGUUUUCAUGCAAUUUCUUUCACAAAAGUUGUUUAUUAGACAACUAGGACUCAUAAUCUUCCAUAAAAACACAGAAAACAACACAUUUAAUCUCAUGGAAAAACCCUAGACUCUUCAUCAUUUUGCAAAAUAGACCCCUCAUAUGAAAGCUCAUGCUUUAGGGGUUCCAAAAAUGUAAAAAUCAUCAAGCAAAGACAUUAAAAUCACUUACAAGAAAGGGAAAUAUGUUGCUGAAAUUUUCCAGCUUCAAAGCCCUUUCUUUGCUGCAUAUUU
rnacentral:lncRNA from 1 species